AGGAGGCAGGAGAGGAGGGGCAGGGUCCCUGGCUCUGCUUGCUAAUGCAAAGUGCUCACAGUAACAAGCCAGAGUAAGGAGAUGCCAUGGACACUACAGAAUCAGGGACUGCAGAGGGCUGUGGCCAAGGCCACCCGCAAGGGAGUCAAGGGCAAGAUGGGUGCAGUGUCUCUGUCUUUAGGCUGCAGUGGGCUGUCCAGAGUUCUGCUGGUGAGAAGGUACAGUUAGAAUGUCAAACGUAGGAGGAGUAAGAAGCCGAGGGUGUGGGAGCAGAGCAGCAGUUUGGGGUUCCCCAGAGAGUCCUUCCCUUCCCUUCUGUGAACACACGUGCAGCUGCUCUGGGACUUUUGGACUGCACUUCUCAGUUACGCAUUCUCUGCCACUUGUAUGCCACCAGCCUCUCCCUUUGGACUCUGGCUUUGCUUUCCAUGGUUCUAAAGACUUGGUGCCUGGCACCCUCAUUUCCUCUUGUCUCCAAGGACUGCAGCAGCAGGCCAGGCUUCCUGUCUUCCCUGCCGGGAUGGAUUUCUGAGGCCCUCCGUGUCCAGGAGGCUGGGUUUGCAUGGACAUUGAUUAUACAGGCCUUUUGAGAUAGAUCACAGUCAGUGCUUUAAAACUGCAUUCUUUUUAAAAAAA
rnacentral:lncRNA from 1 species